GCCAGGGUGGCGAAACGGUAAACGCAGCACGCUGAGGUCGUGUGGCCCCUCGAGGCAUGCAGGUUCGACUCCUGUCCCUGGUA
rnacentral:tRNA from 1 species